UGCAUAUCAAUAAGCGGAGGAAAAGAAACCAACAGGGAUUGCCCUAGUAAUGGCGAAUGAACAGGCAAAAGCUCAGAUUUGAAACCCUCGGGAUUGUAGUCUGAAGGCGCGGAUCUGGCAGCUGACCAAGUCUCCUGGAACGGAGCGCCAUGGAGGGUGACAGCCCCGUAGCAGCAGCCACCGCAGAUGCGCGCCGACGAGUCGAGUUGUUUGGGAAUGCAGCUCUAAGUGGGUGGUAUGCUCCAUCUAAGGCUAAAUAUUGGCGAGAGACCGAUAGCGAACAAGUACUGUGAAGGAAAGAUGAAAAGAACUUUGAAAAGAGAGUGAAAAAGUACGUGAAAUUGUUGAAAUGGAAGGCAAUGAGGCGCGAUGGCGCCGGACGUGCGCGGGCAGGACAAAAGCGCAGGCCGCCUCGGCAUCGCCUGCGUGCAUACUGCCCCGCGGACUACCGGCGCUCGCAACGCCUUACUGCACCCGUCUUGAAACACGGACCA
rnacentral:rRNA from 1 species